rnacentral:rRNA from 1 species
UAUCACUGAAGGAUGGACCCGCGUCUGAUUAGCUUGUUGGCGGGGUAACGGCCCACCAAGGCGACGAUCAGUAGCCGACCUGAGAGGGUGAUCGGCCACAUUGGAACUGAGACACGGUCCAAACUCCUACGGGAGGCAGCAGUGGGGAAUAUUGCACAAUGGGCGCAAGCCUGAUGCAGCAACGCCGCGUGAGCGAUGAAGGCCUUCGGGUCGUAAAGCUCU